rnacentral:lncRNA from 1 species
GGGCUUUUGGGAGGAUUGACACAAGUUUAACUUCUUAUGAAAGCUAGAUCUUUAUUUUUAUAUUUUGGUUUAUUUGUAGGAUCAAUGUUUAAGGCGUAAUAUGAACCGCACUAAGAUGGACGAGCCCGUCUCCGCUGAGUUCAGAGAAGAAGUCGCUGAAACCGAACCUAUCCCGGACCAAACCAACUCUGAGAAGCACGCUGGAGCAUCUAUUGAACACACUGCUGACGCACUGAGUGAGAAGCAGAGAGAUGGAGGGAGAGAAGAACACACACGCCAAACCUCCAGCCAGCGACCCAUGGAACAACCACCAAGUUAAACAGCUAAAAGAUGCUUUGAAAGUUUAAAACUUGUCGUUGGGGUUGAAGAGCUUGCUCUGAACUUUGCCCUCUGCAGCCUCUGUCUCCAGCAACACGAAGCAACCUGUGGCACCCGCUUUGUCGGGAUGGGCAAUAUUGACAAAAAAAAAAAAA